GGUGCAUUCGGUAGAUUGACGUGCUCUGCUCGGAAAUGCGACGAGGAUUGGGAGUGAAAGGCGAAGAGGCUAUGGUGGAUGGAGCUCACGACAGGGACGACGUCUCGGACAACGAGGGGAUUCACGUUGUCAUCGACGACUAGAAUCAAGGUUCUCGAGGCUGGAACCACGACUAGAAUCAAGGUGCUCGAGGCUGGAACCAAGAGAAAAAAUUGAAAUUUUCGUCCACGGUUCGCUUCCUUGUUCUUCAGUUUUGCGUUUUUAAUGCAUUGAGAGGGAUUUCUAUUUUGCAGCGCUAUAAA